rnacentral:misc_RNA from 1 species
AAUUCUCAAACCAUCUUGGUUUUCUUUGACCAAGGUGGCUUUGGACUUUGGAGGCAUUUUGCUGGCUUUGCGUAAAGCCAGCUCCUCUUAAAUGUAUUAGUGGGGUCCCCUUUGCCGAUCUCCAGGCGUGAUAAGUCAUUUCUACGUCUUGGGAUUUGCUCUGUUCCUUGGGAACCUGCUUCUAACCGUCUCACUAUGGGAGACAUCGUUCGAGCUUGCUCGACCCACGAA